GAGACUUAUAUUUACCUAUAAAAUAAAUAUAGUACUUAUCUCCAAAAGAUAAUUCCAAUAAAAUAACACAAAAAAGUGAAAAUAAUUCAUUAACUUUCAUCUCCUAAACCACCAAAGAUGGUGAAAUUUUUUAGCUUCAAUAUUUUCCCACUAAAAGAAUCAGUUAUCAUUAACCCCAGGUUUCAUUUCUUCAUCUCACUAGAACAUUCCCAUGUCAACCUUGGGUGUCACGGCCCAUUUGUUAUUUCAAUUUCUUUUCCACUUAAUCUUUACCAAAUUAAUUUAAUACUUCCUCCCGAAAACCGAAUUCAUCUCACAGUAAUUCCCAUAAAUUGCUGGAAUCAAGCUUACACCUGCGAAAGUUAUGGCGGAGCUUUCUCAACAACCAACAACUCCGGCCACCGCAAAUCUAAUUUUCGACGACGAUUGCUCUAUUGACAGUGAUUCCUGGUCUAUAAAGAUUUAAAAGAGAGUAUGAAGACGAGCUCUCGCUGCUGCUAAUCUCCGCCCUUCCUCUAAUUACAGGUACCCACUUUGGUUUUGUUCUUGGUUUAUUGAAACUCCACUUAAUUCGAUCUGGGCAUCUUAUUUUUUCUCUUGUUGAGGAUUUGCCUACAAUGAUUGUAGUUGCAGAAUAAAUAUUGGUUGAUUUGUAAGAAGCUAUGCAUUAUUCAUCAAUCUUUUGCAAGAAGUCAAAAAGGCAGUGUAUACAAUGUUGCUAAAGAAUCUCAAAUCUACCACAGAAAGAAAAGAGGUUGUCAUACUAACUUUAGAUGCUGCAAAGUUGGACUCAAUUACCAAGCAAUAGGACAUUUGUAGGUUGCCACUGCAUUAGUUUGCUACCAAACAACAGCAACUUGCUGCACACCUUAACUCUUUGACCAGCAGGCUGCAUCUCACCCUCUUUUUUAAUCAAUGCCCAUGAGGACUCCGCACAUUGAAUUCCUUCACAUUGAGUCCUAGCCCCUCCAUAUCACCAGGAAGCAGCGCAUUGCACUACAUUGGCUUCAACGGAUGUUCAACAAACUAAUGUAAGGUAGCAAAAAAAUGUUGAAUUUCGGAAUUACGUUUACAUCAUUAGUCUAUGAGCUAUUUCACAUUUAAGUGUCGCUUUCUACAUAUGUAGCGCAGCUAGCUGAUUAAAAAUUAUUGCCAUUGUCACUUGAUUACAUGUGUUUAUUGAUGGAAAAAUC